rnacentral:misc_RNA from 1 species
AGCAUCUCACAAACCUUGUGUUUUCGGACAUGGGGCAAGUGGAUCUGGACGCUUUUUAUCUUUGCAAGCAUCUGAAAAUGAUUGUAUGUGCACCAAUUGGUUUUGUCAAUUGGGUUCCAACGUGCAACAGAUUUAUCUAUUCGCGGAGGUAACCUUGAUUGACUGCCAGCCGGAGCGCAUGCUCACAAGCGAACACGGUGGUUGCAUCAGCUUGAUGUCGACUUCCGAUA